GACGAACGCUGGCGGCGUGCUUAACACAUGCAAGUCGAACGCUGAAGCUUGGUGCUUGCACUGGGUGGAUGAGUGGCGAACGGGUGAGUAAUACGUGAGUAACCUGCCCUUGACUCUGGGAUAAGCCUGGGAAACUGGGUCUAAUACUGGAUAUGACAUGCCACUGCAUGGUGGUGUGUGGAAAGGGUUUUACUGGUUUUGGAUGGGCUCACGGCCUAUCAGCUUGUUGGUGGGGUAAUGGCCUACCAAGGCGACGACGGGUAGCCGGCCUGAGAGGGUGACCGGCCACACUGGGACUGAGACACGGCCCAGACUCCUACGGGAGGCAGCAGUGGGGAAUAUUGCACAAUGGGCGGAAGCCUGAUGCAGCGACGCCGCGUGAGGGAUGACGGCCUUCGGGUUGUAAACCUCUUUCAGCGCGGAAGAAGCGAGAGUGACGGUACGUGCAGAAGAAGCGCCGGCUAACUACGUG
rnacentral:rRNA from 1 species